rnacentral:rRNA from 1 species
UAGACCUCAAAUCAGGUAGG